CUAUACAAUUCUUGGCGCCUUGUGCACGUUCCUUGUGGAUGCUUCCCUAUACGCCUCAUCCCCAGUACACAUCCAGCAGGCGAAGGUAAGAGAAAUUAUUAAUUUUUCCCCCCAGUGUGGCACGUGCGUCUCGUCAACCUGACCGCCCUCCUCUCUGAUCCGCACCCUUUGAAAACUUAUAUUGCUUCUCUGUCCUUCAGCGCCAUUUCUGUAUUCUUCUAAUCGUAAGCAGUAAAGUUGUGGAGACACCUCGUGGAAGAGGUCUUGCGGCGCAGAGGCGUGACGAGCAAAGACAUAAACCUGCCGGUCAUGAAGGAAAGAUGAUUCCCGGCUAGGCGAGCCGCUUAGAAUGUAAAGGCAUAUACGUGUCUAUGUGUAUAGAAUAGCCGUGGGGCAAGGAGGGUGUACCUACAUGUCUUGCUCGAUGAUUGCUGUGUAUUUACGAGCUCAUUACCACAAGGAGAAGCAAGAGAGAAAUAGAAAACCGGAAGUGACUGGAUACAAUGGAUUCGAGUGGACAGUUGGAAAUAACGUCCCUGGGACUGAAUAUUUUUGCCAAAAUGAAACGCAUUCGUGAAACAGACAAAAAUUUGUUUAUUUCUUGGGUGGCCGUUUCACCAUUCAGUGUUGCCAAGGAGAGGAGGGAAACGCGCGAAAUUUGAAAUUGGAAAACGCCGGACCCACUAACCAGGGAAAUUAAUUGAAGUCUGAGUGGUCAGAUGAAAGCAGAGAAGAUGAAGAGCUACAGAGGAACUAGGAAGGUGACUAUUGGUGACUAGGCAGACGGUUAGGGAAACCGGACGUGGAGCAUCAAGGUUCUGACGCUAACCAAUACUCGAUAACCAGGCAGACGCAGGCUUCCCACGCGCAAGAAGGUUAAAAUAUCCAUGUCUCCCUGCCAGUCUCCCUGAAAACCUGGAAACCUGGAUGCCUGGCUGUCUACGUCUGCCCGAUGCCUACCCAACCAAAUGGCAAAUACCAAUAACCAAUUCACAGAGGACCAGCCAACCCGAGAGGCUGCGGAGGUAGAGAAGUCCUGGCGCAGUACACAGUAAUACCGGGAAGUUCGGUCCGGCUCACGCAGGAUAAUGGAGAUUGACAUCACUGAGAAACACACAACUACAGUGUUCAGCCUGUCUAAAGGCUGGUCUUCGAUUUUCGUCCUACACCGUUGGACCCAAGGGGCUGUUGGUUCGUCGGGGGUAGGUUAAGGGUUGGAAACGGAAGUGCGGCAAGACGGCGGACCCCGGUGCGGGUGGGCAGGCAAGGAAGCAAGCAAGCAAGUAUACUUGGGUAGGACGGCGAGGGAACGCAACGGGGCUCAAACGGAGAACGGGGUAAAAUGGGGCUGAGACGGGGUUGAGACUGGGCUGAGAAGGAAGCCAAGACCACCACCUCACCUCGCCUCUUUGCCACGCCACGCCUCGCCUCACAAUGCACCGGAUUAGCGAUUGUAUUGAUCCGCCCUCGCUAGUCCCUAGCCCCUUCCUGCAAAGGAGCCACAUUUUGGCCGACUGCAUUCUCCCGAAAGCCCAAGGAAAAAUAGCUAACCGAUAUUCGAACGCCGAGGACAGCGAAAAAGAAGGAAGUAUGCGUACACUUUUCAAUGGAGGGUAUAGUGACAGCGAAGGACGUUGAGUUUUGUACUUCCAGAGGCAAGGAUUGCAUCACGGUCUUCCUGGAGCUUGUAUAAUACUACGGUAACCUUCAAAUUAUCAGAUACUUUGAUUUCUGUUCGUGAUCGAUCUUCUUAUAAAAAUAGUGAAGGAUGAUGCGAGAGAGAAAGAGCAAACGUCAGUUUACGAGAACCUCCAGAAUACUAGGUUACAGAGAGACUUGGGCAAAAAUUCAGACUCUUAGAAAAGCUCUUUUGGUCGUACAAAGAAUUGCGAAGACGAGAAGGCGGAACCAGCUGAGGGAACGCGGUCAUUCGUCAAGCGUUCAAAGAAAAACAGAACUUAUAUCAAAGAGAAUGUAUCCUGGGUGAUAGCUGGAAUUUGAAGUAUAAAAUUCAAAAAUUUUGAUGUUUGAUAAAAAUGGAAGUGCAGCAGCAUAUCGCAUCUACGUAUAAUUUUAAGACGGGCUAUGAAGUUCACUGUCGUGGCCAUUUUGCUGUGGAAACUAUGGCUGCGUGAUUGCCAAUGGCGUUGGAGAAACUUGACGUUGGGACGGCUGAGGGGUCGUGAAGUCGACGAAGAGGGCCACAGGCAGUUCAGGGGGUUGUGCAUCACGGCGAAGGGCUUGCGUUUAUGGGGUUGAGACUUAGCCAUGUGCGUGAGGAUGUCAAAGUGUUCGUGGCUAUGGGUUUGCCGAGCUGGGGUUCAGAAUGAGGGUGUGGAAGUGGGUGGUAGUGGAACCAUCCUUACUUUUGAACGCCAUGGCUCCCUGUCUCGUUUAGUCAGUGUCGAACGCUGCCUUAGAGAACACUCUUGGAAGUCUCUCCGAAGCUUCUUUUUCCCCCUUCAUUUUCUAGUGUCGAUAAAUUGUGGCACGUUUGUUAUCUUGAAGGCUUGUAGAAUAAGGUUUGACGUUUCUAUGCUGGCGCAUGGGCUGUAGAACAAGAAUAAAUUUUUUCUAUAAUGAUAGAGUCAUCUUCAUAAAGAUAAAUUGAUUAUUACAUCAAUUAAUUAUUAAUAGAAUCCGCUAUAGAAUUGAAACUUAUAGAAAGAAAAUUUAAUUUCGAAAGCAGGUCAGACCAUGAGAUCAGUAGAUAUCACAUGCGACACGUGGUGAUGAUAAGAUGA